rnacentral:rRNA from 1 species
AGCGAACGCUGGCGGCAGGCUUAACACAUGCAAGUCGAGCGGGCACUUUCGGGUGUCCGCGGCGGACGGGUGAGUAACGCGUGGGAACGUGCCCUCUGGUUCGGAAUAACUCAGGGAAACUUGAGCUAAUACCGGAUACGCCCCUUUGGGGAAAGGCUUGCUGCCGGAGGAUCGGCCCGCGUCUGAUUAGCUAGUUGGUGAGGUAACGGCUCACCAAGGCGACGAUCAGUAGCUGGUCUGAGAGGAUGAUCAGACACACUGGGACUGAGACACGGCCCAGACUCCUACGGGAGGCAGCAGUGGGGAAUAUUGGACAAUGGGCGCAAGCCUGAUCCAGCCAUGCCGCGUGAGUGAUGAAGGCCUUAGGGUUGUAAAGCUCUUUUAUCCGGGACGAUAAUGACGGUACCGGAGGAAUAAGCCCCGGCUAACUUCGUG